rnacentral:lncRNA from 1 species
AUUCUCUGCCUGCUUUCCUUGUGUCUCUCGUUGUUUCUCUCUAAAUCUCCAUCUUUCCCUCUCUGUCCCUCUCCCCCUCCCUCCUUUCCUCUCUGUCUUUGUAACUCUCCCUCAAUUUUACUCAUUUUAGUGGUUCACUCUUUGGAUCUAGGACCUUGGUCAGCAUGAGCAUUGCACUCACAGAGAGGGUGACACGUUUCCUGAUGCCUGAAAGAGAGAAAUAAGAUGGCCCAGGAGACUCCAGGGCACUCUGCCCACUAAGCAUCUUUUUGUGAGUGAGAGGCCAUUUCUCCAGCUGUCCAUUGCAGCAUUCCACAACCCAGACUGCUGCUGUCCAUGCUGAUUGGUGUUUGAGAGGGCAGAAUGGACCCCUGAUUCACUUCCCAUCAGGAACACUUGCCACCAGGAAACCCCCUCAAUCUACUCUUCCCUUGCCCUUUAAGACCUUCUAUUUCAGGGUCCUCCCCCUGCCAGAUUGAAAGAUGACAGACUGAGGACAAGCCCUAAGGGGACAGAGAGUCUAAGGCUCCAUGUUCCAACUCUGCAAGCCCCACCUCAGCUCAACUCAACACCUUAGACCUUCAGCUCACAGUUCUCUACAGGACACUUGUGAAAACUUGGAAAAUAUUAAUUGCUUAACAGUCCGCUUGCAAGUUGAACAGGCAGAUAAGGAGGAAAAGCCUUUCUUCUUUGACAAGCUUUCCAUGAAACAUAACCCCAGAACACGAGUGCCCAGAUGUAUACAUUCCAGGCAUGAAAAUGAAGGAUAAUUCUCCAAAAAGACUGACUGGCCCUUGGGACAAGAUCCACAGAGACUUCAUCUGAAACGUUCUUCAUCAAUCAAGUAAGCCCACUCAUCUAUUGAUAAUGCUUACUGAGGGGCAAGCCACCCCAUGCACAUAAAGUCUCCUCUUAGCUUUUUAGUGUACCACUUCUUAAUCAUAAAUAAACAUUUAAGGAUCACCAGACAUUUGUAGAAGACCUCAACUAUGAAAAAAGAGAACUUAACAAAUAAACUUUUUUUGGAAGGCUGAGAAGACAUAGAGACAAUAGAGGGAGCAGAAAAAUAAAUAACAAAAACAAACAACCCUAUAGAUAUUAUUGUCAUCUGAAAGUUUUGAGAAAGUAUUGCAUUCAUGAAACAAGAAUAAGAUGCAAUUAAAAAGUAUAAUCGGAGUGAAAAAAUGAAUUAGCCAAGAUAAAAAAUAUUCAAUAGAACACUUGGAAGAUAAGGUUGAGUAACUCUCCUUGAAAAGCCAAAGAAAAAGAUGAGAAUGAAGAGAAAGAAAAUUAGGGGACCAAGCCAAUGUAUCCAACAUCUGAAAUUCCAAGAAGGGAAAGUGGAGAGAAUUAUGGGGUGGAAAUAAUCUAAUAAGUGGUUUAAUUUCCCAGAACUGAAAGACAUGAGUUUCCAGAGAAGGCCCAGCAUCAUGUAUUUAAAACAACAACCAAAAAAACUACCUAAGCAAAUAUUAUGAAAUUUCAGAAUAUCAGAAAUAGGACAGAUUGUAAGUUGACAGAGAAGAAAACCUGUCACAAAGGAUAAGGAAUAAAAAUGGCAUCAUGCCUCUUACUAGCAACACUGAGGCCAGACAACAACAUAACAAUUGAUAUUCUGAGAAAAAAAGCAUGUUCAGUCUACAUCUAUACCAAGACACACUCUUA